ensembl:lncRNA
GCAGCGCUCCGGGCCCCGCCACGUGCGCGAAGUGCCGGCGGGGCGUCCUCCGGAGGGGGAGCGGCUCCGUGAAGGGAGGCGAUCCCGUGGGCUGGGGAGGAACGCGCGGGGAAACGCCGCGUCCGUCUUCGGGCAGCAGCGAGCGGAGCGGGAACGGAGCGCUCCGGUGUCGCCGCUCGGCCCCUUUCCGGCAACGGCCCCGAGCUGGGAGCCAGAGGCAAACCUGCCCCACAACACCAUUUGAUAACAAUACAUUUCACGACUGCCGCUUUUUUUUUUUGGGUCCAAGCUCUUUUAUCACCAAAGGAUUGAUGUGACUUACCACAUAGAUCUCAUGUCAGGAACGAAAACUGAAGUUGUCUUACUUUUCCUUAAAAAAGGAGAAAGUUUGCUCUUGAAGUAUUGCCAACAAAUAAUACUUUCAGAACCUCUUGCAUAGUUCGGAUGCCAAAGUCACACUGGAAGUCAGUGAGAUUCAAGAUUUUAACUCGCACUGCAAAUGUGAUUCAAAGGCUUUAAGGGUGAAGCGUCUGUCCCUGCAGAGGAUCUGAGCAAGGCUCCUUUACCCUUCAGGUUCUGGGCUGAUCGGUAGGACCAAGAGGUGGGAGAGAGGUCACAGUGGGCUCCUGCCAUCUACGGAUAUGCUGAUCAUAAGUUUGCCUGAAUGUGGAGAAGAGUGAAGAUGAAGCACAGUGGCUCAGGAAGCACAUAACACAAUGCUUCUCAUUUUAAGAGUCUGAUAAUUAAGCCAUUAAAGAGUGCUGGGACUAGCAAUACCAUGUCUACGGGGAGCUAAUUACUUGUACCACUGGUAAAAUACCAUGACAACAAUAAAGGACAUUUUAUAGACAAGGAAUGCUGACAAGCUCCUGCCCUGAAGCAUGCAGCUGGAGGGCCCAGCCUGUACCCUUCCAAGUCAGUGGAACAUCUCCAGUGCACAACAGCAACUUGGGACCCGCAUUUCUGCUGUCAAGUUUGCGUGGAAAUAAAUAGGAGGCAUCACUUUUGGACCAGUCUACGUGUUACAGCAGAACAGCCCCCUUGGCCUUCAUUCCAUUCCUCUUCCUGGUGGGACAGAAGCAUCUGAAUGGUAUAUGGGGGUAUGUGUAUCACUGCGUGCCAGGACAGAUAGCGUAGAGCUGCAGCUGUUGGCCUAUCAAAACAGCACAAAAUUCCCU